UCAAAACAGCAGCCUUCGGGCCUCGCUGCACCCUUGUCUUUUGCGCACCGUAUUGUUUCCUCGGCGGGCUUGCCUGCCGGUUGGACAUCAUAAAACCUUUUUGUAGUUGCAAUCAGCGUCAGAAAAACAAUAAUUAUUA
rnacentral:misc_RNA from 1 species